rnacentral:rRNA from 1 species
AGCGAACGCUGGCGGCAGGCUUAACACAUGCAAGUCGAGCGGGCAUCCUUGUGGUGUCAGCGGCAGACGGGUGAGUAACGCGUGGGAACGUGCCCUUCGGUUCGGAAUAACUCAGGGAAACUUGAGCUAAUACCGGAUACGUGCGAGAGCAGAAAGGUUUAUCUGCCGAAGGAUCGGCGCGCGUCUGAUUAGCUAGUUGGUGAGGUUAUGGCUCACCAAGGCGACGUUCAGUAGCUGGUUUGAGAGGAUGAUCCGCCACACUGGAACUGAGGCACGGCCCAGACUCCUACGGGAGGCAGCAGUGGGGAAUAUUGGACGAUGGGGGCAACCCUGAUCCAGCCAUGCCGCGUGAGUGAUGACGGCCUUAGGGUUGUAAAGCUCUUUUCUACGGGACGAUAAUGACGGUACCGGAGGAAUAAGCCCCGGCUAACUUCGUG